rnacentral:rRNA from 1 species
AUUGAACGCUGGCGGCAUGCCUUACACAUGCAAGUCGAACGGUAACGCGGGGCAACCUGGCGACGAGUGGCGAACGGGUGAGUAAAGUAUCGGAACGUGCCCAAUAGUGGGGGAUAGCCCGGCGAAAGCCGGAUUAAUACCGCAUGAGACUUGAGGGUGAAAGCGGGGGACUCGCAAGAGCCUCGCGCUGUUGGAGCGGCCGAUAUCAGAUUAGGUAGUUGGUGGGGUAAAGGCCUACCAAGCCGACGAUCUGUAGCUGGUCUGAGAGGACGACCAGCCACACUGGGACUGAGACACGGCCCAGACUCCUACGGGAGGCAGCAGUGGGGAAUCUUAGACAAUGGGCGCAAGCCUGAUCUAGCCAUGCCGCGUGAGCGAUGAAGGCCUUAGGGUUGUAAAGCUCUUUCAGUGGGGAAGAUAAUGACUGUACCCACAGAAGAAGCCCCGGCUAACUCCGUGCCAGCAGCCGCGGUAAUGUACAGUGU